rnacentral:misc_RNA from 1 species
CCGAGUUUACAACUCCCAAACCCCUGUGAACAUACCUAUCGUUGCUUCGGCGGGAUGCCCCAGUUUGACGCAAGCUGGGCCCAGGCGCCCGCCGGAGGACCCAAACUCUUGUUUUAUUUAUGUAUCUUCUGAGUAAACAAGCAAAUAAAUUA